rnacentral:rRNA from 1 species
AUUGAACGCUGGCGGCAGGCCUAACACAUGCAAGUCGAACGGUAACAGGAAGAAGCUUGCUUCUUUGCUGACGAGUGGCGGACGGGUGAGUAAUGUCUGGGAAACUGCCUGAUGGAGGGGGAUAACUACUGGAAACGGUAGCUAAUACCGCAUAACGUCGCAAGACCAAAGAGGGGGACCUUCGGGCCUCUUGCCAUCGGAUGUGCCCAGAUGGGAUUAGCUAGUAGGUGGGGUAACGGCUCACCUAGGCGGCGAUCCCUAGCUGGUCUGAGAGGAUGACCAGCCACACUGGAACUGAGACACGGUCCAGACUCCUACGGGAGGCAGCAGUGGGGAAUAUUGCACAAUGGGCGCAAGCCUGAUGCAGCCAUGCCGCGUGUAUGAAGAAGGCCUUCGGGUUGUAAAGUACUUUCAGCGGGGAGGAAGGGAGUAAAGUUAAUACCUUUGCUCAUUGACGUUACCCGCAGAAGAAGCACCGGCUAACUCCGUG